UUUCUAUCUUUAAAACCAAUUCCACAAAUCAUAUUGCAGACCAAGGCAGGCUACCAUCCAAUCAUGCAGUGACAGGUCUCGGGUUCUAUGGGGUCUAUAGUUUCUUAAACUUCUGUUUAUUUUAAGAAAUCAGCUUGGAGAAACAAUGGCUUGGGAUGCGGUUUGCUCGAAAUGAAAGUUUCUGAGUACGAGGCCAUGGAAAAAUUAUUGGAGCACUUUGCCACUUUCUGCCGUUCAUUUCCCUUCUUUCGGCUACCAGCCUAUGACAAUGGCAUCAAUCAUUAGACGAGAAGUAAAGUUUUGCGAGGUUAAAACAAGAGUGACAUUGUGAAGGGAGUAAAUAAGGA
rnacentral:lncRNA from 1 species